GCUAGUCUCAACCUGCACCUGAUCGCGCGCGCCGCUGCCGCGAGGUCCACCACCUACAGUCGGCGCUACGACAACCACCCACCCGCCGCGCCAGCCAGCCCACACCAGUACCGCCUGCAUCCCGCCGACCCUCCGGCCCCCAGCGAGCCGCUGUCCCUCCCUCUCCUGGGUCCGCCAGCCCCGGCGACGCGCGCCGCCGCCCACCAACUAGGAUCCCGCCACUUCAACUUGUUCUGAACGGGAGCUACAGUGCUGGCCGGCUCUGCUCCUGCGGGACUGCACUCAAUCAUGGCAGCUCCGGCUGAACUUCAGGCCCGAAAAAAACUGGAGAAGAUGGGAUCCAAGGAGGGUGGUUGCUCGGGAGGAGGUGGGAUCGAAGGUAGAAGAGUCGUGUGAUACUUUUAGCAAUGUGGCACACGUGUGCCAAAUAUCACAGUCAUACCCCUUGGUUCCUAGAGAAACAUCCAUCGGUUUCCUAGAAAAACAUCCAUCGGUGUUCUAUUCCUUGCUUUGAGAUUUGCACUGUGCAUUUCGAACCCUUCUCUCUUCGCCAGCGAACGCUUCUCGAGAUAAGGUGUAUGUCACAAUGGUGCAAAUAUUCACCACGUUCACAUGAACACUUUGAACUAGCAGUAAAAAUUUGAGAACAGAGCAGGAUAAUCUCAAUGUUCUAUUUUGCGUGGGUAUCACAGCGGGAGCUGACCACCAGCUGCACCUGCACGGAACCCAGAGAAGAGAGCAGAGCAUACUAAUCACAUGCCCCCUUUACAUAGUCAUCUGAAGAAAUG